CCGAGCAACGCCGCGUGAACGAUGAAGUAUUUCGGUACGUAAAGUUCUUUUAUUAGGGAAGAAUAAAUGAUGGAAAAAUCAUUCUGACGGUACCUAAUGAAUAAGCCCCGGCUAACUAUGUGCCAGCAGCCGCGGUAAUACAUAGGGGGCAAGCGUUAUCCGGAAUUAUUGGGCGUAAGGGGUGCGUAGGCGGUUAAAUAAGUUUAUGGUCUAAGUGCAAUGCUCAACAUUGUGAUGCUAUAAAAACUGUUUAGCUAGAGUAAGAUAGAGGCAAGUGGAAUUCCAUGUGUAGUGGUAAAAUGCGUAAAUAUAUGGAGGAACACCAGUAGCGAAGGCGGCUUGCUGGGUCUUUACUGACGCUGAGGCACGAAAGCGUGGGGAGCAAACAGGAUUAGAUACCCUGGUAGUCCACGCCGUAAACGAUGAGUACUAAACGUUGGGUAAAACCAGUGUUGAAGUUAACACAUUAAGUACUCCGCCUGAGUAGUACGUACGCAAGUAUGAAACUUAAAGGAAUUGACGGGAC
rnacentral:rRNA from 1 species